rnacentral:lncRNA from 1 species
UUUAUUCGCCGGGAUGCCCAUUUUUGCCUGGACUCUUUUAUUCUUUCCGUCCAGCGGGUCUCUUUAUACGAAGUAUUUUUUAACUGCAUCUGCAUUCACAGGGGAUGGAAAAUCUUCGCCAUCCAUGGUCGUUAGUGUAACACCUCAAAAUUUGCCCUCCUCUCUUGGGACUAGCUUAGCAUAUUACAUAUCAUUUUGUAGGUCAUUAGGCAUUGCAUAUUUGCAUAUCAUGUG